rnacentral:sRNA from 1 species
ACACCUGGAAGAACUCGUCAUGCUCUCUGUAGCGUGGUGCUUCUGUUGCUCACAGGAUGUUUGCCACACCAGUCACUUGAGAGAAUCUCUGAGUCCUGGCGAGGGCUUUCUGAGGCUUCGUGUAUUAGCAGCUGUUGUCUUCCAACUCAGCGGCAGGACAACUUGCCUUUGAUGAUUUUCAAGAGAGUUGUGCUAUGAUGUGGCAAAAGUAUGCAGGAAGCAGGCGGUCAAUGCCUCUGGGAGCAAGGAUCCUUUUCCACAGUGUGUUCUAUGCCGGGGGCUUUGCCAUUGUGUAUUACCUCAUUCAAAGUAAGUAUCCUGCUAGCCGCCUGCGGCCUGACCUCCUCCUAGCCUGCUCCUGCUCCUCCAUCAGAGGAAAUACUUGAGAUGCUUUCUUUAGAUUAGAGAAAGGAGGAGAGGGUGAUUUUAAAGGCUAGUCCACCAUUUCAUUGGCUAUAGCUUCCUCUGUAUCCUGUAAUCUCAGUUUUUCCAGGAGCAACGAGUACAAAUAAAAGGACCAGGACUAAUUUGCAUAAGAAGCCUAGCAAAGCACGAUGGGCUUUCAGUCC